GUGAAACAAUCGGGCAGCACAUCUGCAAAGUCUGGACCAGCACAGAGGAGAGCAGCACGGCCCCUGAGCAAGGAUCAUGCGCUAAUGUGUAAAGCGUUCUGUGCCUUA
rnacentral:snRNA from 1 species